UACAGAGGAUGCAAGCGUUAUCCGGAAUGAUUGGGCGUAAAGCGUCUGUAGGUGGCUUUUUAAGUCCGCCGUCAAAUCCCAGGGCUCAACUCUGGACAGGCGGUGGAAACUACCAAGCUGGAGUACGGUAGGGGCAGAGGGAAUUUCCGGUGGAGCGGUGAAAUGCGUAGAGAUCGGGAGGAACACCGGAGGCGAAGGCGGCCAGCUGGCCCUGACCUGACGCUGAGGCGCGAAGGCGUGGGGAGCGAACGGG
rnacentral:rRNA from 1 species